rnacentral:lncRNA from 1 species
GUGACCCUCCAGGAAUAUCAAGUGACCCAGCAAGGAGUAAUUGGGGAAGUUCCAUGUCUUGUGACCUCCAGAAUAAUGGCAGACCUGACACCUAAUGAAUGUGUGAAUAGAAAACACCUAGAUGCUCAGAAGAAUGGGUAGUGAAAUAUUCGUAUUCAUAUACCAAUCAGAGAGUUUUGGCUGAUCACAGGCUGCCAACUGUUCAAACCACAUUCAAAUAAGGGCUGUGACCGUCUACGACAAGCUGGCAUCUUUCUUUAAAGAGGCACCUCUGGACCUGCAGCACCGGCUCCUCAUGAAGCUCAGAACCUGAGGACCCAGCCAUGGAGCGGUCAGCCUUCAUGGAGCAGGAUGCUGGGAGCGGGCUGGUGAUGCGUCUCCAUGAGCGGCCAGCCCUGCUGGUCAGCAGCACACCUGGACAGUCCUGGAUGCCCCCACCCCGCCACGGUCUCAAUGAGAAGGGGAGGGUGUGUGAGCUGGAAGAGUGCUGUCUAGAAACAGGCCCCUGACAUUCAAUUCUCUUCUCAUAGAGGACGAAGACUUCUCUAUC